AGGAAUCUGGGCAAUGCAAUUGCUCGAAAGAUCUUCAUUCUCUGGGGUUUCUUUGACCACCCCUAGCCGGAAAUGUUUCUCUUCAUAAUGGGGCUUGUUGCUUAUCUCUGCAUACUGGUGGACAACAUCUCAAUUAUUGUGGUACCCAGGGGAUAUUUUAGGGGAGCACCAAAUGCAUCAUUUUAGCUGUGACGUCUUUGGAUCCUUACAUUGCCAUCUGCAAACACUUGAGGUACCCAGCUAUCAUGCAUCAGCAACUCUGUGUCCUCCUAGUGGCCAUGGCAUGGCUAAGCAGUUUGGCCAACUCUACUUCAGUCAUCCCUUGCCGUCCAGCUGCCACUAGGCGGUAACAAGGUGGACGACUUUCUGUGUGAGGUCUCAGCGAUGAUCAAGAUAUCACGUUUUGACACCACAUUCAAUGUAUCUAUGCUCUCCAUUGUGAGGAUAUUUUAGUCCCUCGUUCUCUAAUCAAUUAUCUUUGCUUACUGUGGAUUCAUUGUAGCUACUGUGCUGAGGAUUCAGUCCUCAGGGGGAAAGAAGGAGGUCUUCAACACAUGUGGUUCUCAUAUUGUAUCUCUCCUCUAUGGGCCUGUAAUUAGCAUGUAUGUACAGCCCUCUGCCAACUCCCAGGACAAAAACAAAUUCAUGUCCCUGUUCUACAGUUUGGUGACUCCUAUGCUUAACCCUUUUAUCUACACUUUGAGCAACAGGGACAUAAAAGGGGCAAUGAGGAGGCUUCUUGUCUUUUUGUAUCACCAGGAAGAGAACAAAAGUAA
rnacentral:lncRNA from 1 species